CAGGCUUAACACAUGCAAGUCGAGGGGCAUCAGGAAGAAAGCUUGCUUUCUUUGCUGGCGACCGGCGCACGGGUGAGUAACACGUAUCCAACCUGCCCUUUACUCGGGGAUAGCCUUUCGAAAGAAAGAUUAAUACCCGAUAGCAUAAUGAUUCCGCAUGGUUUCAUUAUUAAAGGAUUCCGGUAAAGGAUGGGGAUGCGUUCCAUUAGGUUGUUGGUGAGGUAACGGCUCACCAAGCCUUCGAUGGAUAGGGGUUCUGAGAGGAAGGUCCCCCACAUUGGAACUGAGACACGGUCCAAACUCCUACGGGAGGCAGCAGUGAGGAAUAUUGGUCAAUGGGCGGUAGCCUGAACCAGCCAAGUAGCGUGAAGGAUGAAGGCUCUAUGGGUCGUAAACUUCUUUUAUAUAAGAAUAAAGUGCAGUAUGUAUACUGUUUUGUAUGUAUUAUAUGAAUAAGGAUCGGCUAACUCCGUGCCAGCAGCCGCGGUAAUACGGAGGAUCCGAGCGUUAUCCGGAUUUAUUGGGUUUAAAGGGAGCGUAGGUGGACUGGUAAGUCAGUUGUGAAAGUUUGCGGCUCAACCGUAAAAUUGCAGUUGAUACUGUCAGUCUUGAGUACAGUAGAGGUGGGCGGAAUUCGUGGUGUAGCGGUGAAAUGCUUAGAUAUCACGAAGAACUCCGAUUGCGAAGGCAGCUCACUGGACUGCAACUGACACUGAUGCUCGAAAGUGUGGGUAUCAAACAGGAUUAGAUACCCUGGUAGUCCACACAGUAAACGAUGAAUACUCGCUGUUUGCGAUAUACAGUAAGCGGCCAAGCGAAAGCAUUAAGUAUUCCACCUGGGGAGUACGCCGGCAACGGUGAAACUCAAAGGAAUUGACGGGGGCCCGCACAAGCGGAGGAACAUGUGGUUUAAUUCGAUGAUACGCGAGGAACCUUACCCGGGCUUAAAUUGCAGUGGAAUGAUGUGGAAACAUGUCAGUGAGCAAUCACCGCUGUGAAGGUGCUGCAUGGUUGUCGUCAGCUCGUGCCGUGAGGUGUCGGCUUAAGUGCCAUAACGAGCGCAACCCUUAUCUUUAGUUACUAACAGGUCAUGCUGAGGACUCUAGAGAGACUGCCGUCGUAAGAUGUGAGGAAGGUGGGGAUGACGUCAAAUCAGCACGGCCCUUACGUCCGGGGCUACACACGUGUUACAAUGGGGGGUACAGAAGGCAGCUAGCGGGUGACCGUAUGCUAAUCCCAAAAGCCUCUCUCAGUUCGGAUCGAAGUCUGCAACCCGACUUCGUGAAGCUGGAUUCGCUAGUAAUCGCGCAUCAGCCACGGCGCGGUGAAUACGUUCCCGGGCCUUGUACACACCGCCCGUCAAGCCAUGGGAGCCGGGGGUACCUGAAGUACGUAACCGCAAGGAUCGUCCUAGGGUAAAACUGGUGACUGG
rnacentral:rRNA from 1 species